UUUCUGUAUCGAGUUCGGACCGCCGGGGUCUCUAGAAACCCCCAAGCCCCUCCCCCUGGCCAAUGUCUCCUCCCGCGCGACCGUCGCGUCCUUCUCCCGCCAGCAGCCUGGGAGGCACUUUGGCUGGCUGCGGAGCCAGGCUCUUUGAAUGACAGUGGGGCGGGGGGACCGCGGGGCGUCCAUUUGUUCUCCUUGGAGGUGGAGGCAGAUAAACAGCGCCGCUAACGACCGCGUCUCCACGUCCGCGGGCUUCUGGGAGCCGUCCCAGCGGGGAGCCCGGGAGAAGACGAAUCGCUUUGAAUGACACAGGACAUGGCAGAUUGGAUGUUUAAUUUGGAGAUGGCCUGGGACAUGAUAUAUUUAACCCAUCUGUGAUUUCAUCCGCACCUGAUCAAGCCCACCAAGGCAGAAUGGACUUUAAGGGAAAGACAGUCUUGGACCACGUGGUGUUCUGGUUCGGCUGUGCUGACCAGGUGAAGGCACGCCGAUCCCUUCUCUCUCUGGGAUCUGGCAGGACUUGGACCGGAUGACCUGACCCCUCCCCCAUACUGGAUAAUGACGCUCCUGCCUCAGUGCUCCACCAGGACUGGAGGCGGGCUUAAUGCCCAGUCCAGGGCCAGGUGAAGUCCUGCAGCAGCCGCUGCUCCUCUGCCAGCUCUCCCGGAGGUCGCAGAGCCACCGAGGUGGCUCUGAUCCCGGUGAGAGAAGUCUCCAGCCAGCACUUCCAGGAUCCGGCUCCAGCCACCGCCCAAGCUAUACCCGCCUCUCCGGUUAAAGUUGCAGGUAUUGUCCCUUGGAUACAAACGUGAAGAGAACAUACAAUGCAGACCCAAAAAACGCUGAGUGGACUGCACAGAGGGACCCCACUGACCCUCGAGAGACUAAGACCAUCCUUAAGAAGAAGGAAAAGAAGAUCCUGGAGGAGCCCCUUCAGGAUGAAGCCACACAACCAACUCCUGCUGCUUGGCCUCACCAACGUGAUUUUGAAUUUAACUUCCGUUUCAACUCAGGACAAUGCUUUCAUC
ensembl:lncRNA